rfam:Vibrio mangrovi strain CECT 7927 genome assembly, contig: 0002
UUGAAAAAAACAAAAAGAUCACCGUACUAAGGAAGAAAUCCACGGAUGGAUUUCUAGGUUUUUCUGAGCAAGGGACGGCUCAUAAAAACCGGUUCUGGACCACAAGUGACCAACCCAAACAAAAAGAGAUUUUCUGGUUACUCUUU